CAUAUAAACAAGGUUGUAUGCACUAAAAUAGAAUUGUUAAAUAAAUUGGUAACUACCUUAGGGACCUUAAAGAGUUCAAGGGGCAUCGUUCUUGCUGUCGAGUUGGUUUCUACUUCCAAGAGAGAGUCUACCUGGAAGAAGAAGAAGCCUACGAAGAAGCAGAAGACCGAGAAAAGGCCAAGCAAGGAAGUUCCAAGAAAAGGCCGAAUGCAAGGGAA
rnacentral:lncRNA from 1 species